CGCUGGAUUGUUUUCGUUGCCCAAUGCAUCGCUAGUUUUAGAUGAAAGCUUUUAGAACUUUUCUUUGCUUCAUCCUGUCCUCUAUAGUGGAGGAAGAAUGUCGAGAACUUUGGAGCUAGUUUAGGAAGAAAGCUUUUUAGUUCUUCCUUUCCUCCAUGGUGGAGGAAGAUUAGCAUCAUACUUUUUUGGAGCGCUUUAGUUUUUAGUUUUUGUUCUUCGUUGUGUUCCAUAGAUGCAUGACAACCAUAGCUGGCUACUAAUACCUUUGCGAUCACGUAACCUUACAGAUGAGACAAGGAGGGAAAACUGGGAACGAACAACGUUCUUUCUCUCUUCAUCAUGCCUUGUGUGGAGUCCGGCUGUCUUCUCAUCGAUGGCGAUCAAUCAACGACUUCGAGUUUGGCAGCCGAUUUAAUUGCAUCCGGUUGACCUUGAUGCCGUGAACUUAUCAUACUUCUUCUUCUGCUGCUUCAACUUGGAUCAUCAUCGCCUCCCCUGGAAACACCAAACAAGCUUAAACUUAUCCUCUUCUUUACGGCUGCCGCGUUUACAAGUCACUUCCCAGCGGGCUCUUAAAAAAUGGUUUGUCUAAGGUAAGAACUUUCCAGUUGUUAGCAUCCAGCAGUGUAUGCCAAAGUCAUUGUAUC